rnacentral:rRNA from 1 species
UACGAAGGUCCCAAGCGUUAUCCGGAUUUAUUGGGUUUAAAGGGCGCGUAGGCGGGCUGUCAAGUUUGGGGUGAAAUCCCGCGGCUCAACCGUGGAACUGCCUCAAAUACUGACGGUCUCGAGGGGGAUAGGGGCGAGCGGAACUAAUGGUGGAGCGGUGAAAUGCGUUGAUAUCAUUAGGAACUCCGGUGGCGAAGGCGGCUCGCUGGAUCUCUUCUGACGCUGAGGCGCGAAAGCUAGGGGAGCAAACGGG